GCCUUCGUGGUGUAGUGGUCAGAAGCUCGGCGCGUAUUCGAGAGGUCCGUGGUUCGAGUCCCGGCGAAGGCA
rnacentral:tRNA from 1 species